GAACGGGUGAGUACACGUGAGUAACCUGCCCUUGACUCUGGGAUAAGCCUGGGAAACUGGGUCUAAUACCGGAUAUGACUCCUCAUCGCAUGGUGGGGGGUGGAAAGCUUUUGUGGUUUUGGAUGGACUCGCGGCCUAUCAGCUUGUUGGUGAGGUAAUGGCUCACCAAGGCGACGACGGGUAGCCGGCCUGAGAGGGUGACCGGCCACACUGGGACUGAGACACGGCCCAGACUCCUACGGGAGGCAGCAGUGGGGAAUAUUGCACAAUGGGCGCAAGCCUGAUGCAGCGACGCCGCGUGAGGGAUGACGGCCUUCGGGUUGUAAACCUCUUUCAGUAGGGAAGAAGCGAAAGUGACGGUACCUGCAGAAGAAGCGCCGGCUAACUACGUGCCAGCAGCCGCGGUAAUACGUAGGGCGCAAGCGUUAUCCGGAAUUAUUGGGCGUAAAGAGCUCGUAGGCGGUUUGUCGCGUCUGCCGUGAAAGUCCGGGGCUCAACUCCGGAUCUGCGGUGGGUACGGGCAGGCUAGAGUGAUGUAGGGGAGACUGGAAUUCCUGGUGUAGCGGUGAAAUGCGCAGAUAUCAGGAGGAACACCGAUGGCGAAGGCAGGUCUCUGGGCAUUAACUGACGCUGAGGAGCGAAAGCAUGGGGAGCGAACAGGAUUAGAUACCCUGGUAGUCCAUGCCGUAAACGUUGGGCACUAGGUGUGGGGGACAUUCCACGUUUUCCGCGCCGUAGCUAACGCAUUAAGUGCCCCGCCUGGGGAGUACGGCCGCAAGGCUAAAACUCAAAGGAAUUGACGGGGGCCCGCACAAGCGGCGGAGCAUGCGGAUUAAUUCGAUGCAACGCGAAGAACCUUACCAAGGCUUGACAUGGGCCGGAUCGCCGCAGAGAUGUGGUUUCCCCUUUUGGGGCCGGUUCACAGGUGGUGCAUGGUUGUCGUCAGCUCGUGUCGUGAGAUGUUGGGUUAAGUCCCGCAACGAGCGCAACCCUCGUUCCAUGUUGCCAGCACGUAGUGGUGGGGACUCAUGGGAGACUGCCGGGGUCAACUCGGAGGAAGGUGGGGACGACGUCAAAUCAUCAUGCCCCUUAUGUCUUGGGCUUCACGCAUGCUACAAUGGCCGGUACAAAGGGUUGCGAUACUGUGAGGUGGAGCUAAUCCCAAAAAGCCGGUCUCAGUUCGGAUUGGGGUCUGCAACUCGACCCCAUGAAGUCGGAGUCGCUAGUAAUCGCAGAUCAGCAACGCUGCGGUGAAUACGUUCCCGGGCCUUGUACACACCGCCCGUCAAGUCACGAAAGUUGGUAACACCCGAAGC
rnacentral:rRNA from 1 species